rnacentral:rRNA from 1 species
AACGAACGCUGGCGGCAUGCCUAACACAUGCAAGUCGAACGAAGACUUCGGGCAUAGUGGCGCACGGGUUCGUAACGGGUGGGAAUCUGCCUUUCGGUUCGGAAUAACUCAGGGAAACUUGAGCUAAUACCGGAUAACGUCGCAAGACCAAAGAUUUAUUACCGAAAGAUGAGCCCUCGUAGGAUUAGCUGGUUGGUGAGGUAAAGGCUCACCAAGGCGAGGAUCCUUAGCUGGUCUGAGAGGAUGAUCAGCCACACUGGGACUGGGACACGGCCCAGACUCCUACGGGAGGCAGCAGUGGGGAAUAUAGGACCGCGGGCGAAAGCCUGAUCCAGCACUGCCGGGUGAGUGAUGUAGGCCUUAGGGUUGUAAAGCGCUUGUACCCGGGAAGAUAAUGACGGUACCGGGAGAAUAAGCCCCGGCUAACUACGUG